rnacentral:rRNA from 1 species
UGGGGAAUAUUGGACAAUGGGCGCAAGCCUGAUCCAGCCAUGCCGCGUGUGUGAAGAAGGCCUUUUGGUUGUAAAGCACUUUAAGCGAGGAGGAGGCUACUUGGAUUAAUACUCUAGGAUAGUGGACGUUACUCGCAGAAUAAGCACCGGCUAACUCUGUGCCAGCAGCCGCGGUAAUACAGAGGGUGCGAGCGUUAAUCGGAUUUACUGGGCGUAAAGCGUGCGUAGGCGGCUUCUUAAGUCGGAUGUGAAAUCCCUGAGCUUAACUUAGGAAAUGCAUUCGAUACUGGGAAGCUAGAGUAUGGGAGAGGAUGGUAGAAUUCCAGGUGUAGCGGUGAAAUGCGUAGAGAUCUGGAGGAAUACCGAUGGCGAAGGCAGCCAUCUGGCCUAAUACUGACGCUGAGGUACGAAAGCAUGGGGAGCAAACAGG